UGAUACUGUAUGUUGUCUGUUUGGCAUGAAUUACGAUUUGCUUGUUUAAAUGUGAAUUGAUGAUGCUUAUUGAGGAAAAGGAAAAUGAAAGAUUGUGUAGACUGAUAAUUGUAUGAUGGGGUCAGCCUGACUAGAUAUCCUGGGAGAUGGUGGACGGACCGGGUCCGUAGGGAACCCUACCGGGAUUGUGGUCUCACAUGCCGGAUGGGGUAUGGAGAUCUUAUGGUUUUGGCGCCCAUACCGGACGGCGUAUGGGGACGGCCCGUUUCACCCUCAUACCGGACGGGGUAUUGAGGUUUAUGGUUUUGGCGCCCAUACUGGACGGGGUAUGGGGACGGCCCGUUUCACCCUCAUACCGGACGGGGUAUUGAGGUUUAUGGUUUUGGCGCCCAUACCGGACGGGGUAUGGGGACGGCCCUGGAAACCGAUUAUGAAUGUUAAAGGUUAACGGGUAGCGGGACCCCUAUGGACCCCCAUGGAUACUAGUAGGCUGGUAAAUGAGAAAAGAAUAUGUUGUAUAAUGAUUGAAUUACAAAAUGCGUGAUAAGUGCUAUGUUUUACAGCUUAUGUUAUUCUAUGAUUGUGAUAAUGCUAUUGUUUUCUUAUAUUGCUUCAUGAAUUCCACCGAGGUAAGUGGAUGGUAAAGGUUUUAUCAGAAAUAAAAAGGAUUUGUUGUAAAUCAUGCUCCAUUGGUCUUUUGUGUUUUUCUACCCACCUUUACCUCCGUGACGGUGAGAUAUCGUGAUGUUCUUACUAGGCUAGUGUAGCUCACUCCUUAUUUAACCAUUUCAGAUCAGGAA
rnacentral:lncRNA from 1 species